rnacentral:tRNA from 1 species
GCCCUAGUAGCUCAAUGGACAGAGCACCCCUCUAACUAAGGGAAGCGUGCGGGUUCGAAUCCCGCCUAGGCU